rnacentral:rRNA from 1 species
GUAGGUGGCAAGCGUUGUCCGGAAUUAUUGGGGCGUAAAGCGCGCGCAGGCGGUUCUUUAAGUCUGAUGUGAAAGCCCACGGGCUCAACCGUGGAGGGUCAUUGGAAACUGGAGAACUUGAGUACAGAAGAGGAAAGCGGAAUUCCACGUGUAGCGGUGAAAUGCGUAGAGAUGUGGAGGAACACCAGUGGCGAAGGCGGCUUUCUGGUCUGUAACUGACGCUGAGGCGCGAAAGCGUGGGGAGCAAACAGGAUUAGAUACCCUGGUAGUCCACGCCGUAAACGAUGAGUGCUAAGUGUUAGGGGGUUUCCGCCCCUUAGUGCUGCAGCUAGCGCAUUAAGCACUCCGCCUGGGGAGUACGGCCGCAAGGCUG